rnacentral:rRNA from 1 species
UACAGAGGUCCCAAGCGUUGUUCGGAUUCACUGGGCGUAAAGGGUGCGUAGGCGGUUUUUUAAGUCAGUGGUGAAAUACGGCAGCUCAACUGUCGAGGUGCCAUUGAUACUGGGAAACUUGAGUACUGAUGAGGUAGGCGGAAUGGACGGUGUAGCGGUGAAAUGCUUAGAUAUCGUCCAGAACACCGAUAGCGAAGGCAGCUUACUAAGGAGUAACUGACGCUGAGGCACGAAAGUGUGGGGAUCAAACAGG